AGCUUCCUCUCCAUCCCCUCGUCUGGAACAGGGCGUCUGCCCUCUCCGCCAUAGGGAGCGCACGGCCGCCGUCUGGUCGCCUCCUCCGUCGUCCGUCUGGCUGGAGUCGCGGUGGAGGCCGGGCCUUGCCUCGCCGGAAAGGAACAGCCCGUUGCUCCCGCCGCCGUGUCGCCGCUGCCGAUGCCGCCGCGUCGUCGUCACCGGAGAAGAUGAGUCCUCCCUUCUCUCUCUCUCUUCCCUUUUUUUUUUAAAACUUAAUCUAUCUCUCUCUCUCCGUCGUUUCAGACAGAAAAGGAAAAAGGCGGUGGCUUGCCGCCGCGCCGUCUCCGGCCGUGAGCAGCCGCCGGCUGCUCUCACUCCUCCCUCCGUCCCCGGUCACACACACACAGAGACACAAAGGGUCCAAAUUUUCAGUUUACACAGAACACUUAGGUUUUCAAAAUUUGUUCUUUCUAUUCUUGUCUAUUCUCAAAAUCAAAUCUUGUAAUUGUAAUAGGUAGAAAGUGAAGUGAUGAUGAGUGUGUGUGUUCGUUGCUGUUUCUUUCUUCUUCCCUUUUUUUUUUUUUUGUUUGAUGCAUAAUUAACAAAUGAUGUGGGGAGGUUUUGGAGUAACCUUGAUUUGGUGUUGUUGGAAUCUGUGAAUUGUAAACAAAUAUAAGAAUGAGUUUUACUUUCUUUGAAACUGGAACAAUUGAUGGAGAUUAAUCAAGUAAUCACCUUCUUGAUUUUGAAUCUUGGAAGUAGUCGAAACUGGAAAACUUGGGACUGAUCUUGGAGAUCUGGAAACAGCCGAGUCUUGAUGAUUGAAAUUUUGGAAUUUAUUUGGUAAUUUGGAAGCCAUCGAGAACUUAGAGUAGGAAUUGAGAGAGAUUGAUAAUGUAGAGAUGAGAGAGAAUGAGAGAUUAGAGAGAGAGAAUGUAUGUGUCUUAAUGAGUAAGUUAAACUUGUAGAUAAGUGAAAGGCUUAAUAAGGAAGCCAAAUCUUUGAUUUGGAUAAGAAAGAAUAUUUUGGAAUUACUAAUAAGGCAAUUUGGUGAUUAUGGAAUUGGAGCAAAAAUAAUAAAAUGUAGUAAGUGAAUGGAUGCGAGAUUAAAACAAUUUAAGGGAAGUAAGUGCAUGUUAAUUACUUAAAAAAAACUCAUGACCUUAAUAAAUAAAUAAAAUGAUCUUUAAUAAAAU